rnacentral:rRNA from 1 species
AGUGAACGCUGGCGGUAGGCCUAACACAUGCAAGUCGAACGGCAGCACAGUAAGAGCUUGCUCUUACGGGUGGCGAGUGGCGGACGGGUGAGGAAUACAUCGGAAUCUACUUUUUCGUGGGGGAUAACGUAGGGAAACUUCCGCUAAUACCGCAUACGACCUACGGGUGAAAGCAGGGGAUCUUCGGACCUUGCGCGAUUGAAUGAGCUGAUGUCGGAUUAGCUAGUUGGGGUGGUAAAGGCCCACCAAGGCGACGAUGCGUAGCUGGUCUGAGAGGAUGAUCAGCCACACUGGAACUGAGACACGGUCCAGACUCCUACGGGAGGCAGCAGUAGGGAAUAUUGGACAAUGGGCGCAAGCCUGAUCCAGCCAUACCGCGUGGGUGAAGAAGGCCUUCGGGUUGUAAAGCCCUGUUGUUGGGAAAGAAAAGCAGCAGGUUAAUACCCCGCUGUUCUGACGGUACCCAAAGAAUAAGCACCGGCUAACUUCGUG